UACGUAGGGUGCGAGCGUUAAUCGGAAUUACUGGGCGUAAAGCGUGCGCAGGCGGUUUUGUAAGUCAGAUGUGAAAUCCCCCGGGCUCAACCUGGGAACUGCGUUUGAAACUACAAGGCUAGAGUAUGGCAGAGGGGGGGUAGAAUUCCACGUGUAGCAGUGAAAUGCGUAGAGAUGUGGAGGAAUACCGAUGGCGAAGGCAGCCCCCUGGGCCAAUACUGACGCUUAUGCACGAAAGCGUGGGGAGCAAACAGG
rnacentral:rRNA from 1 species